rnacentral:rRNA from 1 species
GAUUUACGCUGGCGGCGUGCAUGAGACAUGCAAGUCGAACGGACGAGCGGGCUUGCCUGCUCGUUAGUGGCGGACGGCUGAGUAACGCGUAGGUGACCUGCCCCGAAGUGGGGAAUAACUGCCCGAAAGGGUGGCUAAUACCGCAUGUGGAGCCUGCUUCGUUCCAGUCUCCAAAGCAGCAAUGCGCUUCGGGAGGGGCCUGCGUCCGAUUAGCUCGUUGGUGGGGUAACGGCUCACCAAGGCGACGAUCGGUAGGUGGUCUGAGAGGACGAUCACCCAGACUGGGACUGAGACACGGCCCAGACUCCUACGGGAGGCAGCAGUCGGGAAUUUUGCUCAAUGGGCGAAAGCCUGAAGCAGCAACGCCGCGUGAGGGAUGACGGCCUUCGGGUUGUAAACCUCUUUUCUCAGGGACGAUGAUGACGGUACCUGAGGAAUAAGCCACGGCUAACUACGUGCCAGCAGCCGCCGUAAAAC